GGACCCUAGAGCGGCGAACGGGUGAGUAACGCGUACGAAACCUACCUUUAAGAGAGGGAUAGCCCUGGGAAACUGGGAGUAAUACCUCAUAGUAUUCAAUAACCGCAUGGUUUAUGGAUUAAGGCUGAGGCGCUUAAAGAUGGUCGUGCGUCUGAUUAGCUAGUUGGUAGGGUAACGGCCUACCAAGGCUACGAUCAGUAGGGGGCGUGAGAGCGUGGCCCCCCACACGGGUACUGAGACACGGACCCGACUCCUACGGGAGGCAGCAGUAAGGAAUAUUGGGCAAUGGACGGAAGUCUGACCCAGCCAUCCCGCGUGCAGGACGAAUGCCCUAUGGGUUGUAAACUGCUUUUGUUUGGGAAGAAAUGUAUUCUUUUAAGAGUAUUUGACGGUACCAGACGAAUAAGCACCGGCUAACUCCGUGCCAGCAGCCGCGGUAAUACGGAGGGUGCAAGCGUUAUCCGGAAUCACUGGGUUUAAAGGGUGCGUAGGCGGCCAGAUAAGUCAGAGGUGAAAGUUUCCGGCUCAACCGGGAGAUUGCCUUUGAUACUGUUUGGCUUGAAUCAGAUUGAGGUUGGCGGAAUGUGACAUGUAGCGGUGAAAUGCAUAGAUAUGUCAUAGAACAUCGAUUGCGAAGGCAGCUGGCUGGAUCUGUAUUGACGCUGAGGCACGAAAGCGUGGGGAGCAAACAGGAUUAGAU
rnacentral:rRNA from 1 species